rnacentral:lncRNA from 1 species
AUGUAAUCACUGUUUCCUGCAAAGUACCAACCCGCUUGAUUUUUUUUGUGAAAAAAUCAGUAUUAUCCCAUACAAACAAAUCAAAUUGGUAAUGGCAAAGAUUAAAAGUAAACCCAGUAAACCCAUACCCAACCCAAGACAAACAAAUUGAGGGGAAAAAAAGAGAGAAAACACAAGCAUCUAACUGAGCCACAGUACAAAAAAGAGGUUGAUGGUCAAGUACAAAAGAGAGAAAACACAAAUUGCCAAAAGCGGUAGUACCUUUGCUCUCAAGAGAUCAGUUCACAGUCGGCGGCGAAACUCACCAAAUCGACGGGAAAGAGGUUGAUGGUCGACGGUCGGCGGUCGGAGGUCGACGAGAAAAAGAUUGACGAUCGACGUGAAAGAGAAAGAGAGGCCAGGGGAAGGAAUCGGGAUUCGAGAGAGAGAAUAGGGGUUCGGGGGGAAUCGGGUUCGGGAGAGGAGAUUGCAGAAUGUGGAGAAUGGGAUGAACGAAGGGGUUCAGCGAAAUCGAUUGAUGGGGUUGGGCUGCUGCCUGCUGGGUUGGGUUAACAUGUUUAAACCGGUUUUUCGGUUUUUCGGUUUGAUCGGUUAUUUAACAUGUUUAAACCGAACCGAACCGAAAACCGAAUAAUUUUAAAUUUAUAAACCGAACCAAACCGAUCAUACCGAUUAACCGAACCAAAAAACCGAAAUUAAUCGGUUCGGUUCGGUUUUUCGGUUUAAACCGAAA